UGGAACUCUGAAGGAUUACUACCACUUUUACCAUAGUAAAACAAUUAAAAGGUCAGUUCUCUCAAGUAGAGGUACCCACAGCUUCAUUUCAAUGGAACCAAAGGUGGAGUGGAUACAACAGCAGGUGGUUAAAAGAAGGAUAAAGAGGGAUUAUAAACCUGGAGGUACCCAAUCCACUUAUUUCAAUGAUCCCAAGUGGCCAAGCAUGUGGUACAUGCUAAAGCCUGGAGUGGAACUCCUUAGCAACCAUAUUAUCCUCAUUGCACCUAUGAGGGUGCAAAUGAAAAAUUCAUACCUUUGGUUAUAGGAAGAGAGAAGUAACAAGUUAGGCAAUUGAAUCCAGCUCCCCAUGAUGGAUACUACGGACUUGAAAAUUUUCCCUGCUAUUUUGCUGUCAUAGUUCUCAGUAUUUGCAUCUUGUUUUUAAACUGUCUCAACUUUGUCACUGGCAGCAGGACACUCAGCGAGGAAAUUAUGCCUUUUUGGCAACAAUUUUCCUGUAGGUAGACACUAUCUUUUCAGGUAUUUUAUUAAUUUCAAAACAUUAGUGUAUUAUUUCAUUUGAAUGAGCAAGUUUGUUCUAAAAAAACAUUACAUUUUUUUAAAAUAUUUCUUUUUAACAUUCAUUUCGUUCUGGCUUGUAGUUUCAUUGUUGCAUGGAUUGAAAAAGAAACAAAAAAAUAAUGUAAGCUUGAAGUAGUUUGAAAACCAAUUGUUGUUAAUAAACAGAAGUAGUCAAAACUCCUCACCUUCAUUAUCUAACACAUAUGAGCAUGUCACCAACCAGAAGUUUCAUCUCUGUCUUUAAAUGAAAGACGAAGUACAAAUUUGAAGGAAAUAAUAGCAGUGAAUCAAAAGCCCACUGGUAUGGUUAAUGUUAGCUCAUGUAACAUCUCCUUUGCAUUCCUAGCUUUGCAUGCAAGUUUUUUUGUGUGUCACUGUGGCUUUCUGGUGGAAUUGGAUUCAUGUUUUUCUUGUUUUCUUUUGUUUCAAAUUGAUAAGCAGUUAUAACAGUUACCUGUAGUUUCAGGAAGACAUCAGUCUCUUGUUUGUAAGUCAGUUGUGUUGCCUGGCCACAUUGUUUCAUAAACUCGUCAGGGCAAGAAAGAAAGUUUGGAGUUUGUUGUGUAUAACUUUGAGAGUACUUUCAUUUCUGCACCUGUGUAAGAGGGACCUCAACUUGGAAACACUUCAGGACUUCAGGACUGACAUGGUUCAUUACAGAUAUCCUCAUAUAACUGUAUUUGUGAUUGUAACCAUAGCUACUUUUGUUAAUCCGGUUAUCUUUAUUAGUUGAAGAGAAAAUAAAGGAAUUGGAGAUUAGUUA